rnacentral:lncRNA from 1 species
UGCUUUUAUAAAGCUUGAUAGAAGAAAACAAAAAUGCAUUUUCUGGUUCUUGUUUUCUUUCUUUUUUAUUUUUUUCAAAGAGACAGGGUCUCUCUCUGUCACCCAGGCUGGAGUGCAGUGGUGCAAUGGAGUUCACUGCAGCCUCAACCUCCUGGGCUCAAGCGAUCCUCCCACUUUAGCCUCCCAGGUAGCUGGGACUAUAGGCGUGCAGCACUAUGUCUGGCUAAUUUUUUUUUUUUUUCUAGAGACGAGGUCUCACUAAUGUUGCCCAGGCUGAUCUUGAACUCCUGGUCUCAAGCAGUCCUCCCGCCUCGGCCUCCCAAAGAGCUGGAAUUAGAGGCUUGAGCUACCAUGCCCAUCCUGGUUCUUCUUAAGAGGGAUACUCUCUAAGCACAUCCCUGGCUUUUCCCCACCCCUUUAUUAAUGCUUGACCUAAGAAAUUGGAGUGAUUCAUUUCAUCAGUAACUUUCAGAAAAAUAUCUGAGUGAGGGUGGACAGCAUGGCGGGGAUACCCAGUCCCAUGC